CUUAGCUUGCUAAGUUUGAUGGCGACCGGCGCACGGGUGAGUAACACGUAUCCAACCUGCCGAUGACUCGGGGAUAGCCUUUCGAAAGAAAGAUUAAUACCCGAUGGCAUAGUUCUUCCGCAUGGUAGAACUAUUAAAGAAUUUCGGUCAUCGAUGGGGAUGCGUUCCAUUAGGUUGUUGGCGGGGUAACGGCCCACCAAGCCUUCGAUGGAUAGGGGUUCUGAGAGGAAGGUCCCCCACAUUGGAACUGAGACACGGUCCAAACUCCUACGGGAGGCAGCAGUGAGGAAUAUUGGUCAAUGGACGAGAGUCUGAACCAGCCAAGUAGCGUGAAGGAUGACUGCCCUAUGGGUUGUAAACUUCUUUUAUACGGGAAUAAAGUGAGGCACGUGUGCCUUUUUGUAUGUACCGUAUGAAUAAGGAUCGGCUAACUCCGUGCCAGCAGCCGCGGUAAUACGGAGGAUCCGAGCGUUAUCCGGAUUUAUUGGGUUUAAAGGGAGCGUAGGCGGACGCUUAAGUCAGUUGUGAAAGUUUGCGGCUCAACCGUAAAAUUGCAGUUGAUACUGGGUGUCUUGAGUACAGUAGAGGCAGGCGGAAUUCGUGGUGUAGCGGUGAAAUGCUUAGAUAUCACGAAGAACUCCGAUUGCGAAGGCAGCUUGCUGGACUGUAACUGACGCUGAUGCUCGAAAGUGUGGGUAUCAAACAGGAUUAGAUACCCUGGUAGUCCACACAGUAAACGAUGAAUACUCGCUGUUUGCGAUAUACAGUAAGCGGCCAAGCGAAAGCGUUAAGUAUUCCACCUGGGGAGUACGCCGGCAACGGUGAAACUCAAAGGAAUUGACGGGGGCCCGCACAAGCGGAGGAACAUGUGGUUUAAUUCGAUGAUACGCGAGGAACCUUACCCGG
rnacentral:rRNA from 1 species